rnacentral:rRNA from 1 species
AGCAGGGAAUAUUGCACAAUGGACGGAAGUCUGAUGCAGCGACGCCGCGUGGAUGAAGAAGGCCUUCGGGUUGUAAAAUCCUUUUCGGGGGGAAGAGAGCGGACGGUACCCCCGGAAUAAGCGUCGGCUAACUACGUGCCAGCAGCCGCGGUAAUACGUAGGACGCGAGCGUUAUCCGGAUUUACUGGGCGUAAAGCGUCUGUAGGCGGGUGAGUAAGUUGGAUGUGAAAGCUCCGGGCUUAACCCGGAGAGGCCAUUCAAUACUGCUGAUCUAGAGGGCGUGAGAGGGGAGCGGAAUUUCCGGUGUAGCGGUAAAAUGCGCAGAUAUCGGGAGGAACACCAGUGGCGCAGGCGGCUCCCUGGUACGCACCUGACGCUGAGAGACGAAAGCUAGGGGAGCGAACAGGAUUAGAGACCCUGGUAGUCCUAGCCCUAAACGCUGGAUGCUAGGUGUGGGGCCGAACAGGCUCUGUGCCGCAGCCAACGCGCUAAGCAUCCCGCCUGGGGAGUACGGCCGCAAGGUUAAAACUCAAACGAAUUGAC